UUGAGAAGAAGAGGGGAAAGAUGGCGUCCUCUAACAAUCCUCGAAAAUUUAGCGAAAAAAUCGCUUUACAUAAUCAGAAACAGGCGGAGGAAACUGCUGCGUUUGAAGAAGUGAUGAAAGAGCUGAACAUCACCAGAGCUGCUCGGUUGCAGUUACAGAAGACCCAGUAUUUGCAACUAGGGCAGAAUCGUGGACAGUACUAUGGAGGCUCACUGCCCAAUGUCAAUCAGAUUGGAAAUGGCAACAUUGACCUGCCUUUUCAGAACUCUGUGCUGGACACCAGUCGGACAACUAGGCACCACGGGCUGGUGGAACGUGUGUACCGUGACCGCAACCGCAUCAUGUCUCCUCACCGCCGGCCGCUGUCAGUCGACAAACAUGGCCGCCAGAUCGACAGCUGCCCUUACAGCUCAGUUUACCUCUCCCCUCCGCCAGACACUAGCUGGAGAAGGACAAAUUCGGACUCUGCCUUACACCAGAGCGCCAUGAAUCCCAAACCCCAGGAGGUGUUUGCCGGGGGAUCACAGGAGCUGCAGCCUAAACGAGUACUGCUGUUAACAGUGCCUGGGACAGAGAACUCGGAUUCAAAUGAGGAUGCACAGGAACAGUUGUGGGAUGACAAGAAGGAUGAUUCAUCAAAGUCUAACACAUGUGAUGUCCCAGGAAUCAAUAUAUUCCCAUCACCAGACCAGGAGUUGAACCCAUCCUUGCUCCCAGCGGCACACAACACCGGGGGUUCGCUGCCUGACCUGACCAACAUCCAGUUCCCCCCUCCACUGUCCACCCCACUGGACCCCGAGGACACCGUGACCUUCCCCUCCCUCAGCGCGUCCACCAGCACGGGCAGCCUGACCACCAACCUCACCCACCUGGGCAUCAGCGCUGCCAGCCAUGGCAUUCCCAGCUCCCCUCAGCCCACCAUGACUGUAACGUCACAGCGCCGGCUACCCCCUGUGGUGCCACUAACCCUCACCUCUGAACUCCAUCUCCAGCAGUCCCCACAGCAGCUCUCACCCACCUCUCCCAUUAACAUCACGCAGCCUAAACGGAGUGUAUUCGUCUAUCUUCAGGCCGUGUCCACAGAGUCGUUGACCCUGGAGCAGCAGCUCUCCCAGUUCCCCCUGUUCAACCAGCUGACGGCCCAGGCCCAGGCUCAGCUGCUCAACGACCUCCUGAAGCAGCAUCAGGCGCUGCCGCAGGGCAUCCAGCUCAUCACCCUGCCCACCCUGGCUUCCCCCGGUACCACCUCAAGCAGCCCCUCCCCAGACAGCCAAAGCCAGACCACCGCCAGCAUCAGCAUCGGCUCGUACCGCAAUCAGACUGGCUCACCAGCCACUCAGUCUCCAACCUCCCCCGUCUCCAAUCAAGGCUUCUCCCCCGGCGGCUCGCCUCAACACAUUCCCAUGGUGGGCAGUAUAUUUGGCGACUCCUUCUACGAUCAGCAGUUGGCAUUAAGGCAGACCAAUGCCCUCUCUCACCAGCUGGAGCAGUUUAACAUGAUUGAGAACCCCAUCAGCUCCAACAGCCUAUACAACCAGUGCUCCACCCUCAACUACACACAGGCGGCCAUGAUGGGCCUCACCGGGAGCAGCUUACAGGACUCGCAGCAGCUCGGCUACGGUAACCACGGCAACAUCCCCAACAUCAUCCUCACAGACAUCCUGCUGAAUACACACAGACACACAGAGGUGCUGCGGAGGUGAUUCAGCUCACGACUGUAUAUUGCUGACGAUCGGUUUGGAGAUUUCACGUGGGUGGGACGUUGCCAGGAGUUCAAGUCACAGGCGAGUCUCCACCGAGCCUCUCCAAAGAGCUGACCAACUCUCUGGCGGGUGUCGGGGACGUCAGCUUCGACGCAGACUCUCAGUUCCCUCUGGACGAGCUCAAGAUCGACCCGCUCACACUGGACGGACUGCACAUGCUUAAUGACCCCGACAUGGUGCUCACCGACAACGCUACCGAGGACACGUUCAGGAUGGACAGGCUGUAACGUGAGAAGCUGGUCGAGAACAAGAAGAAGAAAAAAAAACACUAACUUGAAUGAGAGAAACAAAGGGCCCGAUGAACCCUCUCCCUCGUUGCAUGGCCGUCCAGCUGUCCGACCUUGCCCUCAACUCCCUUUGAAACGAUGCGCCACUAAAAGACAACAGGGAAAAGACAUCCAGUGGCUUGCCGGGGAAUGGCCUCGCUGUCGUUUUGAAUGAGAUUCGUCGCUCAGCGCUUCUGCUAGCCUGCUGUGUUUACAGUGUACCAUUACAUGCCACAUAUAUUCCAAAAAUCGCACAUUUGACUUUUUUUUUUCUUUUUCUUUUCAUAUCCACUUUUGUUUUGUGAUAUUUGCUCGUAGCAGGAAGCUGCUAAGACCUCAACCCUACCUGUCGUAGCGGCUGUGUUAAAAAACAAAAGAAGAAAAACAAACCACAGCCGGUUUGUUUGUCCCAUCAUGCCACGACGGCUUUCUAUUUCACACUCAAAGCUUUAUUUUUGACAACCAAAUGUUUUUUUCAUCAUGUACUGUAUGUUUUGAUGCUUUAUGUAUUUAUGUGUUAUUUAUUUAUUUACAGAUUUUAUAUUCCAUUUCAUAUUUAAAUUUGAUGCCAAAAUGUUCUCUGUAGGCAUAGUGUUCAAUUGCACUGAUGUAAUUUGUGUCUAUUUAUUAAUUACUAACAUAUUUAUAUAUGUGUUUGUUCAGCUACUUGGUUAAUGAAGGAGUGCAAAACCUCCCCAUAGUUGCUCUUUGGUGUUCGAUGUGCCAUUCUCUGAUGUAGGACGUGUAGACGUUGCCAUGCUGCAGCCCAACGGUCCAAUCUUAAUAUCAUAGUUUUAGCACAGCUCCACAAAAUGCUGCGUGCUCCAGAAAUGGGUUGGUUUAACGCCACUUGAAUUAACUUUUUCUGAGAAAAUCAUCAGGUAUUUCUAUUUAACUAGAAAGCAAGAAAACACGUCCAAAUUAAUUUUCUGCCAGUGAAAAGCCAAUAUAAAUAUCUAUAUAUAGAUAUAGAUAUAUCUAUCUAUAUAUAUCCAGACUGAGCUUCUUCUCAGUGAAGAAAGCCGUCUGUUUUUAAACACUAAAAUGUUAAAUCUUUUUAAGUCGUCACUGUGAAAUCACCUGAUUUUGCCUUACAUGAGUAUUCUACUGUUCUACUAAGUGUAUGAUGUGACAACGUAUUUUCGUAACUUAUUGUAACAUUUUCUUGUAUUUGAAAGGAACUAAACUUUUGGUCAGUGAUAUUUGUGAUUAUGUUGUGUAAGGUUUGACAAAUCAAUGUACUGUAUUUUGUAUCGGUACAGUUUAUAGCCAAAUUGUUGAUGUUUUUUAAAGUGGGGCGAAAACACAUAAAUAAUCAAAGGAUCGGUUUAAAGUGUUUGAGAAGGAGUGCAAUUAUGGGGAGGCUUUUCACUCCUUGACAGGGAAGCUCUAACAAAAACGCUAACAACCUUUGCCAUAGAAGUCAUGAAUAACAACAGUACCGUGCAGAGUAUAGGAUUUAUUGUCCAUUGUUGGAUAUUUAACAGCAUCAAAGCCUCUAAAUGGUUGUUUUAAUAUGAUGUAAAUUUUAAUUUCAGUAUAAAUAUGAGGAUAUUUUCAUUGUAGAGCGUCUGUGAUAACUCCAUGUAGUAAACUGGACGAAGUACAUAACGGGCCUUUUUAAGAACGAAUAUGAGUGUACUUGUAUAUUCAGUGUACUUGUAGUGCAUUUCAGACAGCACCAAGAUCGGCCCGGCUCCAUUCAGUGUUAGAAACGACAAAAACAGUCACAACAACCAGGGAUGUAGUAGUCUAAAACUGUUUACUGAAAAAAUGUUUACACAUUUCAUGUCAUCUGAAAAUGUACAUAUUGAUAUAAUCUCUGACUACAUCCAUGACUUUGCCAAAAUGUGUCUAACAAAUUGUGUCAAAUUGUAAUCUGCCUUGGCCUUUUGUCAGAGUUUCCCUGGGAGGUGUGUGUAAGUGUGUGGGAUCAUGUUUGGUAUAUUGUAAUGUUCAUGUACAGACGUGCUAAUUAUUGACUCGCCUAAAGCGCUGUGGGGAAGGUUUUCCAAACCCCUCCUCCCUCUACCGAAAAGGAAUCACGUUUGGUUUACCACACACCUCUAUCUACUGCUGUUCAAUUGAUUCAGUUACCCUGAAGUGUUAAUUGUCUCCUGUUCCCCUGCAUCAAAUGUGUUCUUUGCCUUCUACAGAUAUGUGAUUCCUAUGCAAAUGAGACAACAAAAAAACGACCCCUUAAAGGAAAAAUCCACCUUUUGAUGUUUUAUUGUUUAUUUCUGGAAUUGAGCUGGAUUUAUUCUUCUGAAAUGGUGUGGGAAAGGAAGCUGACACCUCAUAAAUACUGAGCUAAGGAAAGAACUGUUGUGUUCGUAUCCGGCUGUUUUCUCCUACAUGUGACUGAUGUUGGUAGAGAUGGUGGAUAGGAAAGACAGCUUUGAGCAAUUUGAAGAAAAGGCUUAAUAUUCUCCAUUUCAAUAAUACAGACACAUUUAUGUGUAUUUAUUUUUCAAGCAAGCCCCUUUACAGUACACCCAUUGUCGUCUUAGCCAUUCUAUCCCUGUUACUGAGCCCCUAUGUGUAAUUUUAUUUUAUUUUAUCGAAUUUAUUAUGAAUGAAAUAUUGCUUUAACAAAAGAACUAAUAAUAAUAAAUCACAUUUAUACAGUGCAUUUUACGGUACUCAAACACGCAAAAUUGCCAUACUAGUUGUCUCCUUUUCAGUCAGUGGACACAUUUGUAAUUGAAGGUUAAGCGUGGGGCUUUGUGUUAGAAAAUGAAAGAAUGACUGUUGCAGUAGUGCUAUGACAAUCAACGAGUGAAAUCGUACACUCACCUACAAAUGUCUUUCCACACCAGAGUAACAAGAAAAAUAAAUCCAGCUUUACUUUAAAUGUUUUUUUAAAAACCUCUUUCCUCCAUUUGUUUCACUCCACCUGCAUCUCUUCCUGGUGACUGUUAAACAUCAGUGCAAAGUUGCUGCAGUAGAAAGAAACCCUUUCUCUUAAAUCCUACACUGAACUGAUGCUGGACCUUACUUUCAAUGUUUAAAAUUAAUGAAACAUUUCACUUUAUUUUGUGAAAAUAUGCGGACAACUGUUACCGGGCUUGUCACACCUAAGAGGAAGAAAAAGUAAUCAGUAAUAAAACAAAGGCCCAUUCACAACACUUUCCCAGAAUCUGUUGGAUUUUUCCCUUAAGCCACUAAAACAAAUUUAUAAAACUCAUUCUCUACAGAUUACAUGUUUCCAAAUGUGUUAUCCCUAAAACAAGAUAUGUGUUUGGGCCCAAACGUCAGUGUUGCAUUACCAUCAAUGCAACAAUUAGCAGUAAUGCAACAGUGAUUUGAUCUCCCCUGACACUUCGUUCCCCUCAUCCUGCUGAAUACUAGUCAUCCACACUGACCUUGUACAUAUGCUAUAGCUGAAACAAAAUGCAUGUCUAAACUGACACUCAAAACCUCUUAAUGAAGGCCUUCUAUAGCUCCGCAGGUUUGAUUUGUGUAACAUAACGCUAUCACAAAGUCUAAAGCAAUGCAUGUAUGGGUUUCUCCUGUGACUCUGUUACCUCCAUCUCUGUAUAAUGCUACUUCAAGAAUGAUAAAAGAAUGUAUUUUCUGUGGCAACGUCCUAGAUUUAGCCUGGUUGCCAAAUUCUGCUUGGAGUUUUUGGUCCUGUCUAUCAGACCAGACUCUUUUUCUUUUCCUCUGCUCUUCAGUCUCCACCUCUUCUUCUCUGAGGAAUCUCUCUUCUCACAGUAGCAUCUCACAAUGUACAAGUGUGAAAAAAAAACCCUGUAGGCCCAUCCUUCUUCUACAGCACAACCCUUUGGCUUUCUUGAGAUAACAGAAUCAAGUUGUGUUUUGCAGAGUGGCACGUGCACUGAUUGUUUGCAUACAUGGACUUGAAUCUUCUGAAGCUUGUGCAUUACACAGUCAACUGACAUGAUAGGCACAUGGAACUGAUUAUUAUCCCAAGUUACGUACAGGAGUUACACCUGGCUAUGCGGAGUCUGGUUUUUGUUGUUGCCUAUCAUGUCAGCUGUGGGACUGUGUAAAGUGUUUUACUUUAUGUGUUUGUUUCGUUCUGUUUUGUGCAAUGUUUAGUCAACUAGUUGCUUCGCACUUUAUUUGUAACUUCCUGGCUCUUAAGCAGGGACUGUUCUGCCCGAUGUGAAUGCUGACUGUUUCUCUCCGGAGGUAUUUUCAUGUCAAAGAAAAGAGGAAUACUCUAUUUUCCUUUGUAAAAUAAUUUUUGGCUUGUCUUGUUUUUUUUUUUAUCUGUAAAGAUUUUGGGGGAUGCAAAACUAGAAAGGGCUUACUCCAGUGCAGCUUGCGCUCUCAUGUUGGAACAGAACGGCACUCCGAAUGUAUUUCUUUGUUGGUCAUUUCCCUCCCCCACAUGAACAUGUGCAGUUUGAGCGAGUCAUGGUUCUUACAGUGAGAUAGAUCAUAUUUAGUUGCAACCUGGAAAAAUACUAAUUUGAAGCAGUCUCUGUGUCUUGACUACACAAGAUGCAACUCUAGAGUCCAGGGCACAUUAGAACAAUGAGAUUUCACAACUCCGCUCCAAUCCUUUAUUUAACUGAAAUGCGGCAGAAAACAUCUACCUGGAAAUCACUUGGAGGUAGACGCAUGUUGUACCACUGAAAAGUUGUUAGACAUGUUUUAAAGUUGAUUGACUCCAACUGGUCUGCAACUAUGGUGUAGCUCAUCAAAGUUAGAAAAUAACAUAAAGUAUAAAAAAGAAUUAGAUGCCUUUUACUAUUGUCAUUGGUUUGUUGUCUAUAGCAUAAGCUAAGAGACAAACAUACAAAUAACUGAACUCAAGUUAGGCAGCUAAUUCAAGUCAGGAAAUAAAAAAGACAGUUUGGCAGACUUGAAUGUCUUUCCGUGGUGAUUUCUUGUUGGUAAAACAUCCUCAAGUGUAGAGCAUGAAUUCGAAUUUGAGACUUUGAGGGAAUUUCACAAAAUAAGACAUCUGAAGAUAAACACUGAGAAAUUUUUCCCCGCUUUUAAACUAUAUUACAUUUUCUGUCUUGAGAUGAACAAAUCACCUCAAAAUGAAUUUAUAUUUUCCAAGUUAUUUAGUUUUGGCUCAUCUGCUUGUUCCAGUCAGCCUUCACUGACUUGAGUUACUUGUUAACAAAGUGUAUGUUGUGUUGAAAAGCAGUGAAGCUGACAUCUUGUCCCAAACUGAAGAAGCAGAGCCGUCUUAAACAGGAGUCGUGUGUUAAAAGAUGAAUCAUUGAUCCCACGUGAAAAAGAAAGAGUUUCUACUCCGUCUUUACUGCUUGUUUCCAGGGUGUUUUAUGGCUGAAUAAAACGUCCCUUUAAUAACACAGGGUUUUCUAAAUGACUCUACAACUGUCUCUGGAAAAACAUAGUUUAAUUUCCACUUAAAGCUUCUAUUGAUAAUAGCAUAAACCACUGUUGUCCUGUAAGUCGUAGUAAAAGAUCUGUAGUAAAUUCUUUGUUGCCAUGUGAUUUUCCUUAUGUGACCAUUUGUUUAUAAGAUGAAAGAAAUUGUCAAUUAAAUUGAAUGUGGAAGACAGA